rnacentral:rRNA from 1 species
AGGGGAGUGAAAAAGAACCUGAAACCGUGUACGUACAAGCAGUGGGAGCACAGAGCAAUCUGUGUGACUGCGUACCUUUUGUAUAAUGGGUCAGCGACUUAUAUUCUGUAGCAAGGUUAACCGAAUAGGGGAGCCGAAGGGAAACCGAGUCUUAACUGGGCGUUAAGUUGCAGGGUAUAGACCCGAAACCCGGUGAUCUAGCCAUGGGCAGGUUGAAGGUUGGGUAACACUAACUGGAGGACCGAACCGACUAAUGUUGAAAAAUUAGCGGAUGACUUGUGGCUGGGGGUGAAAGGCCAAUCAAACCGGGAGAUAGCUGGUUCUCCCCGAAAGCUAUUUAGGUAGCGCCUCGUGAAUUCAUCUCCGGGGGUAGAGCACUGUUUCGGCAAGGGGGUCAUCCCGACUUACCAACCCGAUGCAAACUGCGAAUACCGGAGAAUGUUAUCACGGGAGACACACGGCGGGUGCUAACGUCCGUCGUGAAGAGGGAAACAACCCAGACCGCCAGCUAAGGUCCCAAAGUCAUGGUUAAGUGGGAAACGAUGUGGGAAGGCCCAGACAGCCAGGAUGUUGGCUUAGAAGCAGCCAUCAUUUAAAGAAAGCGUAAUAGCUCACUGGUCGAGUCGGCCUGCGCGGAAGAUGUAACGGGGCUAAACCAUGCACCGAAGCUGCGGCAGCGACGCUGAUGCGUUGUUGGGUAGGGGAGCGUUCUGUAAGCCUGUGAAGGUGUGCUGUGAGGCAUGCUGGAGGUAUCAGAAGUGCGAAUGCUGACAUAAGUAACGAUAAAGCGGGUGAAAAGCCCGCUCGCCGGAAGACCAAGGGUUCCUGUCCAACGUUAAUCGGGGCAGGGUGAGUCGACCCCUAAGGCGAGGCCGAAAGGCGUAGUCGAUGGGAAACAGGUUAAUAUUCCUGUACUUGGUGUUACUGCGAAGGGGGGACGGAGAAGGCUAUGUUGGCCGGGCGACGGUUGUCCCGGUUUAAGCGUGUAGGCUGGUUUUCCAGGCAAAUCCGGAAAAUCAAGGCUGAGGCGUGAUGACGAGGCACUACGGUGCUGAAGCAACAAAUGCCCUGCUUCCAGGAAAAGCCUCUAAGCAUCAGGUAACAUCAAAUCGUACCCCAAACCGACACAGGUGGUCAGGUAGAGAAUACCAAGGCGCUUGAGAGAACUCGGGUGAAGGAACUAGGCAAAAUGGUGCCGUAACUUCGGGAGAAGGCACGCUGAUAUGUAGGUGAAGUCCCUCGCGGAUGGAGCUGAAAUCAGUCGAAGAUACCAGCUGGCUGCAACUGUUUAUUAAAAACACAGCACUGUGCAAACACGAAAGUGGACGUAUACGGUGUGACGCCUGCCCGGUGCCGGAAGGUUAAUUGAUGGGGUCAGCGCAAGCGAAGCUCUUGAUCGAAGCCCCGGUAAACGGCGGCCGUAACUAUAACGGUCCUAAGGUAGCGAAAUUCCUUGUCGGGUAAGUUCCGACCUGCACGAAUGGCGUAAUGAUGGCCAGGCUGUCUCCACCCGAGACUCAGUGAAAUUGAACUCGCUGUGAAGAUGCAGUGUACCCGCGGCAAGACGGAAAGACCCCGUGAACCUUUACUAUAGCUUGACACUGAACAUUGAGCCUUGAUGUGUAGGAUAGGUGGGAGGCUUUGAAGUGUGG